rnacentral:rRNA from 1 species
AUAGCUGCAGWAUUCUGACYGUGCUAAGGUAGCAUAGUMGUUUGUCUCUUUAUUGGAGGCUGGAAUAAAUGGGUUNACGACACCMAGGCUGUUUUUACCCUACGGCGGCCGUAAAUCGGCUAAUAUAUUAAGUUGAUUUUUGCAUUAAAAAGUGCAACUUUUUAGGAAGACGAUAAGACCCCGUAAAACUUUAUUUCUGGGAAUGUUUUUUAUUUGGAUUUGUAACGGACUUUUUCUGGGAAUUAAGCUGGGGCAGCAUCUAAUAGACUUUAAGAAGAAAAAACAUGUUUCAGUGAAACGGGAGAUCUUUUUUAGAGUUAGAAUAAGUUACUUUGGGGAUAACAGCGUAAUUUUUUCUUAUAGUUCUUAUAGAAGAAAAAGACUUGCGACCUCGAUGUUGAAUUGGKWKKUCGGGUWUAAGCAGAAAUAAGCCAGGAAAGUCUGUUCGACUUUUAAACUCCCA